GAGUUUGAUCGUGGCUCAGAUUGAACGCUGGCGGAAUGCUUUACACAUGCAAGUCAAGCGGCAGCGCGGGGCAACCUGGCGGCGAGCGGCGAACGGGUGAGUAAUGUAUCGGAACGUGUCCUGAGAUGGGGGAUAGCCCGGUGAAAACCGGAUUAAUACCGCAUACGAUCGAGAGAUGAAAGUGGGGGACCGCAAGGCCUCACGUCUUAGGAGCGGCCGAUAUCUGAUUAGCUAGUUGGUGGGGUAAAGGCCCACCAAGGCUUCGAUCAGUAGCUGGUCUGAGAGGAUGAUCAGCCACACUGGGACUGAGACACGGCCAGACUCCUACGGGAGGCAGCAGUGGGAAUUUUGGACAAGUGGGGCAACCUGAUCCAGCCAUUCCGCGUGAGUGAAGAAGGCCUU
rnacentral:rRNA from 1 species